GGUCUAAUACCGGAUACUGAGCCACUUGGGCAUCCAAGUGGUUCGAAAGCUCCGGCGGUGCAGGAUGAGCCCGCGGCCUAUCAGCUUGUUGGUGAGGUAAUGGCUCACCAAGGCGACGACGGGUAGCCGGCCUGAGAGGGCGACCGGCCACACUGGGACUGAGACACGGCCCAGACUCCUACGGGAGGCAGCAGUGGGGAAUAUUGCACAAUGGGCGAAAGCCUGAUGCAGCGACGCCGCGUGAGGGAUGACGGCCUUCGGGUUGUAAACCUCUUUCAGCAGGGAAGAAGCGAAAGUGACGGUACCUGCAGAAGAAGCGCCGGCUAACUACGUGCCAGCAGCCGCGGUAAUACGUAGGGCGCAAGCGUUGUCCGGAAUUAUUGGGCGUAAAGAGCUCGUAGGCGGCUUGUCACGUCGGUUGUGAAAGCCCGGGGCUUAACCCCGGGUCUGCAGCCGAUACGGGCAGGCUAGAGUUCGGUAGGGGAGAUCGGAAUUCCUGGUGUAGCGGUGAAAUGCGCAGAUAUCAGGAGGAACACCGGUGGCGAAGGCGGAUCUCUGGGCCGAUACUGACGCUGAGGAGCGAAAGCGUGGGGGAGCGAACAGGAUUAGAUA
rnacentral:rRNA from 2 species